CAACUCUCAACAACGGAUAUCUUGGCUCUCGCAACGAUGAAGAACGCAGCGAAAUGCGAUACGUAGUGUGAAUUGCAGAAUUCCGUGAACCAUCGAAUCUUUGAACGCACAUUGCGCCUUAGGCUUCGGCCAAGGGCAUGUCUGCCUCAGCGUUGGGUU
rnacentral:rRNA from 1 species